CCUACGGGUGGCAGCAGUGAGGAAUAUUGGUCAAUGGCCGGAAGGCUGAACCAGCCAUGCCGCGUGAAGGUCAGUGCCCUAUGGGCGUUAAACUUCUUUUGUGCGGGAGCAAUAAUGGUCACGUGUGGCCAGACGAGAGUACCGUACGAAUAAGCAUCGGCUAACUCCGUGCCAGCAGCCGCGGUAAUACGGGGGAUGUAAGCGUUAUCCGGAUAUAUUGGGUUUAAGGGGUGCGUAGGCUGUGAGGUAAGUCAGCGGUGAAAUGCCCCCGCUCAACGGGGUGAAGUGCCAUUGAUACUGCCUGGCUGGAAUGCGGAUGCCGUGGGAGGAAUGUGUGGUGUAGCGGUGAAAUGCAUAGAUAUCACACAGAACACCGAUUGCGAAGGCAUCUCACGAAUCCGCGAUUGACGCUGAUGCACGAAAGCGUGGGUAUCAAACAGGAUUAGAUACCCCGGUAGUC
rnacentral:rRNA from 1 species